rnacentral:rRNA from 1 species
CCUACGGGAGGCUGCAGUGAGGAAUAUUGGUCAAUGGUCGGGAGCCUGAACCAGCCAAGCCGCGUGAGGGAUGAAGGUACAGAGUAUCGUAAACCUCUUUUGUCAGGGAACAAAGGCGGGGACGCGUCCCCGGAUGAGUGUACCUGAAGAAAAAGCAUCGGCUAACUCCGUGCCAGCAGCCGCGUUAAUACGGAGGAUGCGAGCGUUAUACGGAGUUAUUGGGUUUAAAGGGUGCGCAGGCGGCCUGGUAAGUCAGCGGUAAAAGCCCGGGGCUCAACCCCGGCCCGCCGUUGAAACUGGCGGGCUGGAGUUGGAGAGAAGUAUGCGGAAUGCGCGGUGUAGCGGUGAAAUGCUUAGAUAUCGCGCAGAACCCCGAUUGCGAAGGCAGCAUGCCGGCUCCACACUGACGCUGAGGCACGAAAGCGUUGGUAUCGAACAGGAUUAGAUACCCUGGUAGGC